UCGCCGAGCUGUGUCAGCGCAGCUUUUCCGCGCAAGGAGCUCAGGCUUGAAGGGCCAGGCCAAGGCCUCUGCGAAACUAGACCCGACACAAAGGGAAAGAAAAAAAGGUAUGAAGCAUUUUUGGAGGAGGUCAUUGAGAAGGUGUAGCCACCGGUUGACCUGCAAGCUGGACCUGGGUAAUCGAAGACACCUCAUCCGCUCUCCUGUCCUUGUACCCGCAUUCUACAUUCUACCCACCAUUCCCACUGAGGGAGCUGUUCCAAGGAUGUAGCCUUGAAAGAGUAAGGUGUUGAUGAGACCUCUGGAUGGUAUAUGUGACUGAGCCCAGUUAAGGCCAGUAUAUAAACUUAAGAUUCUGGCUGGUGGAUAUGGAGAUCUACUCAUCUUGCAGCUGCCCAAGACAAGCUUCUUAAAUGAUGUGCCUGACACACAGACGGUGCCUGUAGCCUCUUCUGCGACUGGAGACGAGGAGCGUGUGUUCACAGUGAUAGCCAGAGCUUCCUCCUGCUUGCUGUGGUUUAUCUCCAUGAAUUAGAAAACUAGGAAGAAAAGAGUGACGGAUUACAGAAAACCAUCCCUAGAUGAUGCUCCCUUUUAACCAGUACAAAAGAGAGAUGUUAACCGUGUUCUGAUGCAGAAAGGAGCCAGUGAGUAAAGGGGAAGCAUAGCCUGCAGCUCUUACUAAGACAAAGAAAAGAUUCACAGGAGGAUCUGAAGGAAAGAAUCUCAAAUGGGACGAAGCAUGGGCUGUGUCUUAUAUCAGCAAAAACAGCCUGGAAAACCUAAGACUGACAGAGAUAAGUGCAGGAAGCAAUGCAGAAUAUUGUCUAAGAUGUGAAGAACUGUGUUGGUGAUCAUUCCCUAUAAUUAUUAGAGGUCUACAACUGCAUUAGGAUGAGGUAUAAGGUCAAGUUGCUAGGGCACACUUAGAAGAAUGUGUGUCAUCUUCCUGGUGCAAUCAUGGAAGGCUAAUUGGAGCACAUAACACAUCGGCUGAGCUUUGGAGGCAAAUCAUAGUUCAUCAGGUGACCAAUGAGAUGAAAGUAUUCCAGGAUGCCUGAAUGGUUUAUUCAAAUGUACAAAGGCAUAAGAAAGCAUUGCAAUUUUAACUUGAAUGGUGUAGUGGAAAAGUAAAAAGCAUUGGA